rnacentral:tRNA from 1 species
UGGGUUGCAUUCAGGUGAUGCAGGGUAGUAUCCUGCAAGUCUUA